GUUUUCUUUUUACGGUCAAGUCUUCUUUCAAUACAUUUAAAUUAAGAGUUAAAUAAAGAAGAUGGAUCAUAUAAAAGUUGUGAUAUUAGGUGUGAUACAAUUGGUAGUUUUAUAUUUUUGUUUCGACAAAGGUGAAAUACAGACUAUUCAUCUUCCGCUACAUUAUUAGUACCUGUGAUGCCACAAAAUAAUCAAGAAUACAGAGAAUAAUUUAUAGAUGAGAACAAAUUGAUGGAUCAGCGUCGAAGAAAUAAAGAAAACGAAGAAAAGAAAUUCGUACGUGACAGAGAGUCGUCAAAAAUAUCUAAUCGUGGAUUGUUCCCGUCACAUUGUAGGUACAUAAAAAUAUCUUAUCAGAAUGUAAUAAAAAUAAAUGGAUAAAUAACCA